GUGCCAGCCGCCGCGGUAAUACGGAGGGUGCAAGCGUUGUUCGGAAUUAUUGGGCGUAAAGCGCGUGUAGGCGGUUUUUUAAGUCUGAUGUGAAAGCCCUGGGCUCAACCUGGGAAGUGCAUUGGAUACUGGAAGACUUGAGUACGGGAGAGGGUAGUGGAAUUCCGAGUGUAGGAGUGAAAUCCGUAGAUAUUCGGAGGAACACCGGUGGCGAAGGCGGCUACCUGGACCGAUACUGACGCUGAGACGCGAAAGCGUGGGGAGCAAACAGGAUUAGAAACCCGCGUAGUCC
rnacentral:rRNA from 1 species